UUGCAGGCGCUGGGGCUCCCAAAGGACGGAGCUUUGAAUCCACCUGGGAGGCUUAAGAGAAAGUGCUGAGUCCCCCAUGCCCUACCCCUGAGACUGCUGACAGGCAUCGCUGAGGGCUGCAGCUUUGGAAUCGGGCAUCUUCUGAGGAAGAGAAAGGCACCACAGCCACGGCACAGAAGACUAGAGACGGGUGUCACUAUGCUGCCCAGGCUGGUCUCUCGUGGCUUCAAGAGAUAUUCCCACCUUGGUCUUCCAGAGCACUGGAAUUGAAGUUCUAGGUGCAAUGUUUUAAGGGGAAGACUUACACUAUGAAGCUAGCCCAGAAGAGGGUGACUAGAGUACUGAGGAGUUUCUACCUGGAAGGGCUGUAAGGAAGACAACUGCUAUGUUGUGAGCGGCUCUAUGGAGAGGCCCAUGUGGAGGGAAGUGAGGAAGGCCUCUGGCCAACAGUCCAGGAGGAAGUGAAGCCCUCAGUCCAACAGCCUGUGUGGAACUGAACCCUGCAAACAACUCUGUGUGUGAGCUUGGAAGUGGAUCCAUAUUCAGUCAAACCUUGAGAUGGGACACCAUGCUCUGCUAACACUUGAUUGUGGUCCCAGCUAGGCCACUGCUGAAGUCUUGACUCAGAGAAACGAUGAUAUAGUAAAUGUUUGUUGUUUCAAGUUGGUAAGUUUUGGGAUAAUUUUUUAUAUAGUGAUAAUUUUUUAUAUACUUUAAAAUAACACAUUGCCCUAUCCUUUGGUUACACUUUUCUCUUGGAACUCUGCUUGCCCAUAUAUUACAGAAAUAUUUUUCAGAUCAUGGGCUGAAAGGUGGAUUAUGGAUGCAAUGUUUAAAUUUAGCAAUGUCAUUUAUGACUGUUCAUAUGAGCUUUGCUGCAUAAAAUGUUGAUAUUAAUUUGUUUCCCUUUAAGACAUUCUUAAUGUUUACCUCUCAGUAUUUUCUUUGUAAUCAAUUAAUGUAAGAUGAAUAUAGUUUGUAGGUUUUACCUUUCUUGAUUCGUAUACAAAACACACAACAUCCAACCAUUGUUAUUUAAAGAUUAUCUAGGAGGAGAUGAUGGAAACUCUGUUUUGGGCCACCUUCUUUACACAUUGGGUCUAUUUCCCCUAACUUGAGUAUAUAUUAAACUAGUGGGGGAUUGAGCUACAAAAAUGCUACUUGGUGAGAAUUUUAUUAAUACAAAUACUCAACUCUGAAGUUACGUUUUUGUGGAAAGUUAUCACUUUGGAAUUUGAAUUUUCUUGGAGCUAAGCCACUGGUAGUUGUAAAAGCUACACCUGUAAAUUUGCUCCCUAGAAGAUACUUUCGUUUAGUGACCACUUGUUUCUCUGUGGAUAAAUUCAAUUAUAAAUUACAA
rnacentral:lncRNA from 1 species